rnacentral:rRNA from 1 species
AGUGAACGCUGGCGGUAGGCCUAACACAUGCAAGUCGAACGGCAGCACAGUAAGAGCUUGCUCUUACGGGUGGCGAGUGGCGGACGGGUGAGGAAUACAUCGGAAUCUACUUUUUCGUGGGGGAUAACGUAGGGAAACUUACGCUAAUACCGCAUACGACCUACGGGUGAAAGCAGGGGAUCCUCGGACCUUGCGCGAUUGAAUGAGCCGAUGUCGGAUUAGCUAGUUGGCGGGGUAAAGGCCCACCAAGGCGACGAUCCGUAGCUGGUCUGAGAGGAUGAUCAGCCACACUGGAACUGAGACACGGUCCAGACUCCUACGGGAGGCAGCAGUGGGGAAUAUUGGACCAUGGGCGCAAGCCUGAUCCAGCCAUACCGCGUGGGUGAAGAAGGCCUUCGGGUUGUAAAGCCCUUUUGUUGGGAAAGAAAAGCAGCAGGUUAAUACCCCGCUGUUCUGACGGUACCCAAAGAAUAAGCACCGGCUAACUUCGUG